rnacentral:misc_RNA from 1 species
GAUGAAGAACGUAGUGAAAUGCGAUAAGUAAUGCGAAUUGCAGAAUUCAGUGAAUCAUCGAAUCUUUGAACGCACAUUGCGCCCGCCAGUAUUCUGGCGGGCAUGCCUGUCUGAGCGUCGUUUCGACCCUCGCGCCCGGCUUCUGUCGGGGGCGGUGUUGGGGAUCGGCCACACCCUUCAGUGGGAGGCCGGCCCCUAAAUUCAGUGGCGACCACGCUGUAGCCUCCCCUGCGUAGUACUAAAACCACCUCGCAGGCGGAGAGCGAUGCGGCCCGCCGUAAAACCCCCCAACUUUUACAAGGUCGACCUCAGAUCAGGUAGGAAUACCCGCUGAACUUAAGCAUAUCAAUAAGCGGAGGA